CGGAGCCUUCCUCGUGCACAAUCCCCGUGGACGCAGUUGUCAUGGAGAUGGAAGUGGGCCCGGCGUCCUCCCGCGGUGCCGUUGCCAUGGAGAUGCAGCGCAGCGCUCAGUGGAAGGUGGAAGAAGAGAGCGAAGGCAGAACGCAGCUCGACGCCCAGGAGUAGGAGCGGCAGGAUCUCGUGCAGAACCCGGGACAGCGCCGGAGCCGCGCGCCACCUUUCUGUCCGGAGCACUACUACCUGCUCAUUGGGGAGGUGUCCACUGACUGAGCAGCAACUGCGGUGUGUCGCAGAACACAUCAGACACGGAAUUUGCUCGUGGGACAUAAGCCUCACUUCCUGUGAUCUGGACCAGCAGUUGCAACUCUUUGUGACCCGACACUCUGCCCAUUUCUCUUCAAAGAUCAGAGGGUCACGGAGCCUAACCCAGCAACACGGCAUAAGGCUGGAGGGGGAGGGGACACACCCAGGACAGGACACCAAUCCGUCGCAAGGCACCCCAAGCAGGACUUGAACCCUAGACCCACCGGAGAGCAGGAACCGGUCUAACCCACUGCACCACCAUGCCCCCUUUGGCACAAAUAUCUUAUUGGAAUUUAUCAUGUUUACGCUAUUAUGCACAGCUAUUCUGACCUAGAAAUUGAAACAGUUUGUAGGUUAGAACUGUGCAUGUUUUAAAGACAUCUGUCAGUUUAAAGGCAAUUAACCCUUUAUUUGUGAGCGUGAUGGUCUAGAACAUGGUGAUGAGCCAUAGCUGGAGUGCUUCUAUUACUCAUGUUUGAAAGGGACAGAGCUGUCAACAGGUUCUGCCUUCUGCUGCUGCACAUUACCUCCUACAGGCUGCUUUCCUCCUGCACAUGCACACACACACACACACACACACACACACUAUCCGAAACCACUUGUCCCAAGUGGGGUCGCAGCGAGCCAGAGCCUAACCCGGCAACACAGGGCACAAGGCUGGAGGGGGAGGCAACACACCUAGGAUGGGAUGCCAGUCCACAGCAAGGCACCCCAAGCAGAACUUGACCCCUAGACCCACCAGAGAGUGGGACCCAGCCAAGCCCGCCAUACCGCCGUGCCACCACGCCACCCCAUUCUUCCACAUGUGAGUGCAAUUCCUCACCUGCCACAUUUCCCCAACUCAUUUUUACCCCUGAUGGUAGUGUUUUUCUUACCAUCACACACUCCUGCUUCCGCACUCCACAACAGCAGCGUCUGUGUAGCACGUCUGUAAUUGGCCUUCCGCACCAAGCCAUGUGACGAAAAAUCACACCCCUCAAUUCAUCGUUCCCUAUCUCCACCUCUGCAGGUUGAGCAAAGCUCCGCAAAACCUCAGUGGAGGGUGGCAGGUGCUGCAGGGGCUUGAGAACAGCAUUAUUUCUGAGAAAGAGAACCCUGUGUCUCGUACUCUGUGUUCCUGCCAGUAAGGAAAGCAAGCAGGAUACGGGUGUAAAUAAGGUCACACAGCUAUAUUAAGAUAUUUCUGUCUUAUUUUUAUUUUAUUGUUUUAAAAUUGAAAGUGAAAACCUUGAUACCAUUAGCAGCUUGUUUUUUCCUUUUUCCAAGCUUCACUACUAAAAUGUCUCACCUUUUAUCCAAGAAUGUAGAGUUUACCAUUUAAGACACAAGGAUUCAUAGUUAUUUUACCACUUAGCUAUAGAUGCAUUAUUUUACAGCAGCUAUAGUUACGUACAGUCAGUUGAAGACUUAUUCAACACGUUUAUUGCAAAGCCAAUCAGCUUGUAAUGCAAACAGGUGGCACAGUGGCACAAUGAGUAGUGCCGGUUCCUCACAGUGCCUGGGUAGUGCAAGAGAACAUGAGUCUGAACCCUGCUCAGUUUAUGUGGAGUCCAAAUUUACUAUGUUGCUGUGAAUUUCCUCUGGGUGCUCUGGUUUCCUCCCACAGUCCAAAGGCAUGCAGUUCAGGUCAAGUGGUGACUCUGUAGCAUGUGACUAUGUGUGGCUACCCAGACAUAGACCAGUGUAUAUAAUGGAAUAGUGUACCUUCCCUCCACCUAUUCUACAUGCAUGUUCUACAUCUAUAUAAAACAAGAUGAAUUACUGCUAUCCUAUUUGUGUGAGAGGCGGGUAAUCAGUGGGUUACAUUCCUGCAAGUUAUAUUUCAAUGUUGAAUUUCAAUUAACCAUUUGUUCAAAUUAUGCCCUUUAAUGUGAAUAAGUAAGUUGACCAAAUGUAAUAAAAUGAAAUAAAAUCCAAGCA
rnacentral:lncRNA from 1 species